rfam:Caminicella sporogenes DSM 14501 genome assembly, contig: EJ28DRAFT_scaffold00010.10
UUUACCUUUAAAUUAACCCCGUGAGGUUAAUAAGGUCGAAAUAACUGUAUAAAGCGGAUAUUCUAUAUGCAGUAAUAUCUGAAAAGUUAUACAAUGCUUAGUUAAUCAACCUUCUUUAUCCUCAGGGUAAAGAAGGUUUUUUU